AUGACACCUAAAUCUUCUUCUAUGAGUAAAAACAUCGUCGUUCCUUCGAUCUCAACCUCACCGGCACAAAUUCCUCCGUCUCUGUUGCUCAGUCUCUCUGUUGUGGAUCACUCAACUUCGCCUUCUUCAACGAUUCUACUUCCAUUUAGCCUUGAGGCUUUGUCAGACACCACCUUCGUCUCAGACUUCAUCAAAUUCAAUUAA